rnacentral:rRNA from 1 species
UACGUAGGUGGCGAGCGUUGUCCGGAAUUACUGGGUGUAAAGGGAGCGUAGGCGGGAAUGCAAGUUGAAUGUGAAAUCUAUCGGCUCAACCGAUAGCUGCGUUCAAAACUGUGUUUCUUGAGUGAAGUAGAGGCAGGCGGAAUUCCUAGUGUAGCGGUGAAAUGCGUAGAUAUUAGGAGGAACACCAGUGGCGAAGGCGGCCUGCUGGGCUUUUACUGACGCUGAGGCUCGAAAGCGUGGGUAGCAAACAGG